GGAACACCGGUUCUCGUUCGAUCACCGAAAAACACCGUUAAGCAUCAUAGAGCCAGGUCAGUACUUAGAUGGGGACCGCUUGGGAACACCUGGUACUGUAAG
rnacentral:rRNA from 1 species